rfam:Branchiostoma floridae genomic scaffold BRAFLscaffold_142, whole genome shotgun sequence.
GUUUGCCUGUGUGUGAAUGGUGUUCAGCACCAGGGACAGGUGUGUUUGCCUGUGUGUGGAUGGUGUUCAGCACCAGGGACAGGUGUGUUUGCCU